rnacentral:rRNA from 1 species
CUACGGGGCGCACCAGUGGGGAAUAUUGCACAAUGGGCGCAAGCCUGAUGCAGCCAUGCCGCGUGUAUGAAGAAGGCCUUCGGGUUGUAAAGUACUUUCAGCGGGGAGGAAGGGAGUAAAGUUAAUACCUUUGCUCAUUGACGUUACCCGCAGAAGAAGCACCGGCUAACUCCGUGCCAGCAGCCGCGGUAAUACGGAGGGUGCAAGCGUUAAUCGGAAUUACUGGGCGUAAAGCGCACGCAGGCGGUUUGUUAAGUCAGAUGUGAAAUCCCCGGGCUCAACCUGGGAACUGCAUCUGAUACUGGCAAGCUUGAGUCUCGUAGAGGGGGGUAGAAUUCCAGGUGUAGCGGUGGAAUGCGUAGAGAUCUGGAGGAAUACCGGUGGCGAAGGCGGCCCCCUGGACGAAGACUGACGCUCAGGUGCGAAAGCGUGGGGAACAAACAGGAUUAGAUACCCUCGUAGUC